rnacentral:rRNA from 1 species
GAUGAACGCUGGCGGCGUGCCUAAUACAUGCAAGUCGAGCGAAUGGAUUAAGAGCUUGCUCUUAUGAAGUUAGCGGCGGACGGGUGAGUAACACGUGGGUAACCUGCCCAUAAGACUGGGAUAACUCCGGGAAACCGGGGCUAAUACCGGAUAACAUUUUGAACCGCAUGGUUCGAAAUUGAAAGGCGGCUUCGGCUGUCACUUAUGGAUGGACCCGCGUCGCAUUAGCUAGUUGGUGAGGUAACGGCUCACCAAGGCAACGAAGCGUAGCCGACCGGAGAGGGUGAUCGGCCACACGGGGACUGAGACACGGCCCAGACUCCUACGGGAGGUAGCAGUAGGGAAUCUUCCGCAAUGGACGAAAGUCUGACGGAGCAACGCCGCGUGAGUGAUGAAGGCUUUCGGGUCGUAAAACUCUGUUGUUAGGGAAGAACAAGUGCUAGUUGAAUAAGCUGGCACCUUGACGGUACCUAACCAGAAAGCCACGGCUAACUACGUGCCAGCCGCCGCCGUAA